UGGGGAAUAUUGGACAAUGGGCGCAAGCCUGAUCCAGCCAUGCCGCGUGAGUGAUGAAGGCCUUAGGGUUGUAAAGCUCUUUUAGCGGGGAAGAUAAUGACGGUACCCGCAGAAAAAGCCCCGGCUAACUUCGUGCCAGCAGCCGCGGUAAUACGUAGGAAGCGAGCGUUGUCCGGAUUUACUGGGUGUAAAGGGCGCGCAGGCGGGAUAAAAAGUCAGUGGUGAAAUCCUACAGCUUAACUGUAGAACUGCCUUUGAUACUUUUAUUCUUGAGUUCGGGAGAGNGAGACGGAAUUCCAGGUGUAGUGGUGAAAUACGUAGAUAUCUGGAAGAACACCAGUUGCGAAGGCGGUCUCUUGGUCCGACACUGACGCUGAGGCGCGAAAGCGUGGGGAGCAAACA
rnacentral:rRNA from 1 species